UGUAAAUUCCAACUGUUUCGA
rnacentral:piRNA from 1 species